GAGAGAGCAGAGACAGCGGCUAUUUCUCCAUGGGAAGAGCUUCCGGGUCCCGCUCGCUGCAUGACCAGAAUCCACCGGCUCCGUUCCGCCAUUUUGAGAGAGGACACCCGGUCUUCAACACUCGGAACAUCGAGCCCAAAGACACCGUCCCCUUCCGAAACCGCCACGUGGCAGCACCUCCUGACAGACUAAGCCAAGAGGAACAGGACAAGAACCAGAUCGCGCCGCCUCCUGACCCCUACGAGAUUGCGGUCGAGGUCGAGGCCCUGGUUGGCCCUCGCUCUCCGAGUCCCACGCCUUUUAAGAUCGCAGAGUCCCUGGCCUCAACCAGCCAAAGACGCCAGGGCAGCUCAUACGGUAAAGGAAACCUCUCCUCCCCCCAGUCUUCAUCCAAUCAGCAGCCUGGACGACAUGAUGCCUCGAGACUAGGUUCCACCCUCCAAUCUCGUUCUUCGUCUCCAGCACGAGGGCGAUCACCGUUUGGGCGUGGCGAGGGGAGCCUCUCCCUCAAUACACGAAGCUUCGAUGGCGGUGGCCCAGAGAGACGGUCCAGGAGCCCCUCCCAGGCUCCAUCUGGGAGAGCUACCGGUUCAGGAACACUGCCCAAGAACUUCAAAUCAUUUGCUAGUUCUGCCAAAUCCCAAGGGACUACCGUUUCAGACUUUAAGAGCGUCUUGCGUAAAUCGAGUGAGACAAAUGGUGUGUUGAGCGGCAGAGUCCAGGACGGCAGAAGCGUUUCUCCUUUGAGGAAGGACCACAGUACAUCUGGCCUUGCCUCAUUUCGCAAAACAGAACCUCUGAGCAGCAUCUCCAAUGGCCAGAGGCAGCUGGGUAACAGUUAUUCCUCUUUGCCCCCAAGACCAGACCACGGUGGCUUCCGUGAGGUGGACAGCUCUCUGCUGGCCAGGAAAAGUUACAGCUCAACAAGUCACAGCCCAAUCAGGAAGUCUGGAUCCGUCACAUCCCUCAGUAGUAGAAGUCACCCAGGUCGCUGCGGUUCCCCCAUCAGGGAGGGAUACGACAUCGAGAGCCAGGCUCUUCUACGCAACCCGGACGCAAGGAACACACAGAACAAUCUAGAACAGGACAAUUGCAGCUCCCGAUCGGCCAGACGCAGCAAUGACACAAUGGACAACCACUUGAUGUCGAACAAGACUGCUUCGAGCAGUUAUAGCAGGAGUCGAGUUAAUGAGAGCCGAAGUUCUUCUCCAGGAAGGAAGAGCCACGAGUCUCCGGGACGGUACCUAUCCAAGAACGCAGAACCUAAAGGUCCCUUUAGCGACUCUGGGCGUACCUCUCCGAGACGGACCUACGAUAGUCCUACCAAAGGCCUCAAGUCUGAGUCAGGUGGUUUUGCCCGGAGUCGCAAUGGACGCAGUUCCUCGCCCCCUAGAAGAACCUAUGACCCUCCGGUAGCUUCCUCGCUACGGAAGACAGAGUCCGUCACCUCUCUCAACCGCCUCGGCUCCUCCACCUCCAGAACCCCCAACGCUGAAUCGCCAGGCUACUCCAUCCUGAGUAAAAUCACCACAGCAGAGAGCAACAGCCACUUCCAGAGGAGAACCACCCAGGACUCGGUUAUGUCUGAGAGGAACAGCUCCUCACGCUCCCUGAGGGAUUCAACAUAUAGCUCGUCUGCAUGCCGAACCUGCUCGCCAAGCAGGACAGCAAGCUCUCUCGCGCACAGAGAGACCAGUAAAACAACCAGCCUCCACGCACCAAGGGAGACCAUUAAAACAACCAGCUUCCAGGCACCAAGAGAGACCAGUAGACCAACCAUCUCCCAGGCACCAAGAGAGACCAGUAAUACACCAAGCUUCCAGGCUCAAAGAGAGACCAGUAGAACAACCAUCUCCCAGGCACCAAGAGAGACCAGUAAUACAACAAGCUUCCAGGCUCAAAGAGAGACCAGUAGAACAACCAUCGCCCAGGCACCAAGAGAGACCAGUAGAACAACCAUCGCCCAGGCACCAAGAGAGACCAGUAAUACAACAAGCUUCCAGGCUCAAAGAGAGACCAGUAGAACAACCAGGUUUCAGGCACCAAGAGAGACCAGUAGAACAACAACCUUGCAUGCACCAAGAGAGACCAGAAGAACAACAAGCUUCCAGCCAUCAAAUGAGGCCAGUCGAACGGUGGGCUCUCAGGGGCCCCGCGAGACCAGUAGGUCAGCGGGAUUCCAUGUGACCAGGGAGACCAGCCGGCAAGGUUUCCAGGAGUCCAGGGAGACAAGCAGGCAAGGUUUCCAGGGGCCAAGGGAGACCAGUAGAACCGCCUCGUCAGUCAGUAGACCAGCAUCCAGGAGUUCCAGCGUCAACCGGUUCUCCGACAGCAGGAGGGGCAUGGAGGAACAACGAAGCCCCUCCCCUGAAAACCAUCGGCCCUUCCGCCGCACACAGAGCCCCUCCCCCCCGCCGCUGAUCCAGCUGCAGAGGAACACCUCCUCGCAGAGCUCCAUGGACUCCUGGGAGUCUGGGGGUCGGAGCGGGGAGGAGUCGGGAGGCAGGAGUAGGGAGGAGUACGCGGUGUUGGCUGAUGUGCCGAGAGGCCGGACGAUCCACCAGAGAGAGGAAGCAGUGAAACCCCAGAACCACCAGGCACCGCGAGGGAGACAGGAGCUUUUUAAACCGGCCAGUCAUUCUGUGAGCAGACACCCGUCCAGGGAGAGAGACCAACCCGGAAGCCACCACAGAGAGAUGCUGGGUUGGGGAAACCUUUCCAGAUCCCACUCCCCCACCUCUCUGUUCAGACAGGGGUGUGGUCCUACGGGGGAGGAGGGAACCGGAAACACCCACAUACCUGAAAUGACACAGGUAUGCCUCAUCGUGUGUGUGGGUUGUGUGCGUGUAGGUUGUGUGCGCGUGUGUGUGUGUGUGUGUGUGUCUGUUUGCUAUUUUCUGUAUGAUAAUGACACUGUAUAGUCGAACUGUACACGGUAAUAAUAACCAAACUAGGCCAAGGAAAACGGAUAUGUGUACAAUCAAGUGUAUAAAAUCGUUAUUAAAAAACAAAAUACUUGUAGGUCACACAUUCAGUAAAUAUCAUGUAGACACUCACAUUAGUUAUUCAUACUUUGCUGAUGUAGGCCUAUCACCAACCCGCAAGCCGCUGUCAGUAGGCCUACAUGUAUGUUGACAUCUCGAAAGAGUUAUUAAAGACUCCCGAUUAUUAGCGGCAUAACUGGUCAGUACAAUUUUAUUUAUGUUUUUAGCAUUACAUUUUUCUAUAGCUUAUCAAUAUAUAUAUUUUUUUAUCCAUUUAUUUCAAAGGGGAUUCGAUCGUCGAACUUUAAGUUAUGCAAAUAUGAUCGUUCCCUGCGGUUGUUCUCUAGUCGGUCCGCCCAGGAAGUGAUCCGUUUGUCACAAAGUUGUGAAACCGAGAGAUUUUCAGCUGACGUUUAUCUGCAACAAAAAAAAGGCAUGUUCAACUUUGGACCGGCUGGAAAACCGAAAGCUUUGGAAUCCUCCUCAUUCCAAUGAUUACUCGGGACGGAAUCUGGUCUGGUCUCAGCCCGCAGGAUUUACCCCGGAGGAUUUGUUAGGUGAAGUUGGGGAGACGAGGCCCUUUCCCCAGCAUGAAAUAACUUAAUUUUUUUUCUCUCGUUUCAAACUGCAUCUGGAUUACAUGACCAUGACGCCGGAUCUGUUGAACUUCAAGAAGGGAUGGAUGUCCAAGAUGGACGACCUGGGAGAGGUAACA